UACGGGGGGAGCAAGCGUUAGGCGGAAUCACUGGGCUUAAAGCGUGUGUAGGCGGAUCGUUAAGUGUCUUGUGAAAUCCCACGGCUCACCCGUGGAACGGCUGGGCAUACUGGCGAUCUUGGGCCAACUAGGGGCAGUCGGAACAAGCGGUGGAGCGGUGAAAUGCGUAGAUAUCGCUUGGAACGCCGAAGGUGAAAACAGACUGCUGGGGUUGCGCCGACGCUGAGACACGAAAGCCAGGGGAGCAAACGGG
rnacentral:rRNA from 1 species